GGGAUCCGGCUUUGGGACGCAGCUCGAGGUGACGGACCACUGCCACAGGCUCGUGGGCACAAGUGGCGCUGCGCGGGCACUUUGGGGGUUAGGUGUGCGUGGGCCGCCGGGGCGCAUUUCCUGCACGUGGCUCCUCGCCGCCCUCCCUCCUCCACCAGCAAGGAGAGCAGAGGUCCAGGAGUUCUAGGAAGAUGCGUGCGGUUCCCUGGUCCUGGCAGGCAGGACAGCAUCAGGAUGGUCGCGCGCGCCACCUGCCAGGGCCAGUCACUGGCAGAUCCCCUACGCUCUUGUUCUGGCUAACUGGACCAGGAGAUGCGUACCUCCGCGGGCCCAACUGUGAUCCUAGAGAGUUAACUAAGGUGUCUUGAGGACCUAAGCGCGUGGCAUGACUGGCUGGAGCACACCCUGCGUUCCCAGGAGGUUCACAGAUCUCUAUUGGAGCCGCUGCUGAAGAUGCGGGAAUAGACCAGAGAAAAUCCCGAAAUGGUGAGUCUGCAGAUCUGGCAAAGAAGAGCUCGUGGAAGACUUCAAGGUUGCACUCCUGGAAUAUGCCUUGGCCAUGUC
ensembl:processed_transcript uncharacterized LOC110286160